rnacentral:rRNA from 1 species
ACUCCUACGGGAGGCUGCAGUGGGGAAUUUUGCGCAAUGGGGGAAACCCUGACGCAGCGACGCCGCGUGGAGGAUGAAGGUCUUCGGAUUGUAAACUCCUUUUGUCGGGGAAGAUAAUGACGGUACCCGAUGAAUAAGCCACGGCUAACUCUGUGCCAGCAGCCGCGGUAAGACAGAGGUGGCAAGCGUUGUUCGGAAUUACUGGGCUUAAAGGGCGCGUAGGCGGUGGAGUAAGUCUGAGGUGGAAGAUUAGGGCUUAACCCUAAAAUUGCCUUGGAAACUGCAUCACUUGAGUCAGCGAGGGGAUGGCGGAAUUCCAGGUGUAGCGGUGAAAUGCGUAGAUAUCUGGAGGAAGGCCGGUGGCGAAGGCGGCCAUCUGGCGCUGAACUGACGCUGAGGCGCGAAAGCGUGGGGAGCAAACAGGAUUAGAUACCCUGGUAGUCCACGCCCUAAACGGUGGGUACUAGGUGUAGGGCUCGUAAGGGUUCUGUGCCGCAGGGAAACCAUUAAGUACCCCGCCUGGGGAG